AUGCAUAUCUUUGUCAAGAACCCCACCGGCAGGACAAUUCGGAUCAAGGUCCACUCAUCAGACACCUUGUACACCGUCAAGGCAAAGAUCCAGCAGCAGUACCACCUCGUCUUUGGUGGGUUGCAGCUAGAAGACAACCGUACAUUGGCCGAUUAUGGCAUCGAGCAUGACUCUACGAUUGACCUCCAGGAAAAGAUGCAAAUUUUCGUUACGGAGACGCUGUCAGGCAGGACCAUCGCCCUCGAGGUCGACAGCCUAGACACUAUUAGCAACGUGAAGUCCAAGAUCCAGGACAUGGAGGGCUUUCCCAAGGGCCAGCAGUGCGUCAUCUUCGCCAGCAAACAGCUGGAGGACGACAACCGCACCUUGGCUGACCACAACAUCUGGAAGGAGUCCACCCUCCUCCUUGUCCUCCGCCCAUGUAGGCCAGGAGAAAGUAGGAUGAUGCACCUCUUUGUCAGGACCCUUGAUGGGAGGACCCUGGACCUUGACGUCAGGAGCUCGGACACCAUCAACACUGUCAAGGUGAAGAUCUACGAGAAGGAUGGCACUCCCCCUAUACAGCAGCGCAUCAUCUUUGCUGGCAAGCGGCUGGAGGAUGGCCGCACCCUGGCGGACUACAAGAUUGAGAGCGAGUCUACCGUUGAUCUGGUGCUCCGCCUUUGUGGUUGCUGA
rnacentral:rRNA from 1 species